rnacentral:rRNA from 1 species
GACGAACGCUGGCGGCGUGCUUAACACAUGCAAGUCGAGCGGUAAGGCCCUUUCGGGGGUACGACGAGCGGCGAACGGGUGAGUAACACGUGGGUGACCUGCCCUCAGCUCUGGGAUAAGCCCGGGAAACUGGGUCUAAUACUGGAUAUGACUCCAUGACGCAUGUUGUGGGGUGGAAAGCCUUGUGCGGCUGAGGAUGGGCCCGCGGCCUAUCAGCUUGUUGGU